rnacentral:lncRNA from 13 species
AAACACAGCCACUUUUGAAAACAUUUUGGCAGUCUCUGAGGACGCCAAAUCAUACACCCACCAUAAGACCCACCCCCUCCACCCGUAGGUGUUUCCCAAGAGACAUGGUGACGUCUCUGCACACAUUAGACGCGAAUAUUCAUAGUGGCAUCAUUUGCAAGAGCCAAAAACUCAAAACAAGCACCCAUCAGUGGGUGAAGGGAGAAGGAAAUCCAGCCAUAACCACAUAAUGCGACAUGACAGCAGUAGGGAAAGAAUGAAAGCAUUGAUACGCGCAGCGACACGGGUGCAUCUCAAAACCAUCAUCAUUAAUGUAAAAAGCCAGACAAUAAAAAAGAGCAUGUAAGAUUCUGGAAGUUGCAAGGCACUCCACAGUGACAGAAGAGCACAUCCGGGGUCCCUUGGGGAUAGGCGUGAAGGAUUUGGGACGUAACAGCAUCUCUUCCCGAGGUUCUCAACUUGGGCUGCAGACUUCGAGGGCAACGUGGGCGGCUAUGAGGCUGGUGCCCGCGGGCGGGCUACUUAUCCAGUCCUGGCGGGGGCGAAGGCCCAUGAAGUCAGAGUCUCGCAGGGGAAGUCCCUGGAAGGGCCGGUGCAUUCGAAGCCCAGAAAAGGCCCGAACCUGGCUUGCAGCUUUGUUCCUGGUCACAAGGGACCCUGGGUGCGGGAGCAGUCUUCAAAAAUGAUGGACACCGCUGGCCAUCCUGGCUUCCUCCUGCACAGUCGGUCACUCCUGCCCGUGUCCACAGUAGUGACCUCCCGGGGACCCCCUUGCCACCCCACACCACCGCUCACCACGUGGCCAAACAGGCUGAAUUCCUAGAAGACAGGAAUUUAUGGUGUGAGAGCUCCAGUCCCCGCAGACCCACUGCCAAGGUCAACAGCACGAGGCGGGCAUCCCUGCCAAGUGGGGAGUGGAGUCGCGGCUUUAGGAGUCGGUUGCACAGAAAACCAAAGGACAUGCAUUAAAAAAGAAAAAAAAAAAAAGAAAUCCCUUCUCUCCCUCGAGUUCCCAAACUGGGGCUCACACAAGGUCUGCCAGCAUGACCCGGGGAAGGCCUCUGGUCUGGGAACCCAAGCUCAGCAGCUCAGCCUCAGGGGGUGUGGGCAGGAUCUCCGUGGUGGCCCUACGUCUCUG